rnacentral:rRNA from 1 species
UACGGGGGGGGGCAAGCGUUUGUUCGGAAUUACUGGGCGUAAAGGGCUCGUAGGCGGCCAACUAAGUCAGACGUGAAAUCCCUCGGCUUAACCGGGGAACUGCGUCUGAUACUGGAUGGCUUGAGUUUGGGAGAGGGAUGCGGAAUUCCAGGUGUAGCGGUGAAAUGCGUAGAUAUCUGGAGGAACACCGGGUGGCGAAGGCGGCAUCCUGGACCAACACUGACGCUGAGUGAGCGAAAGCCAGGGGAGCAAACGGGG